rnacentral:rRNA from 1 species
GACGAACGCUGGCGGCGUGCCUAACACAUGCAAGUCGAACGGAGUGUUUAUUUAUAAACACUUAGUGGCGAACGGGUGAGUAACGCGUAGACAACCUACCCUCUAGAUGGGGACAACACCGCGAAAGUGGUGCUAAUACCGCAUGUUGUAAUGUUGUUGCAUAAUGAUAUUACUAAAGGUGGCCUCUAUAUAAAAGCUACCGCCAGAAGAUGGCUCGGCGUCUGAUUAGCUAGUUGGUAAGAUAACAGCUCACCAAGGCAAUGAUCAGUAGCCGGUCGGCGAGGAUGAGCGGCCACACUGGGACUGAGACACGGCGCAGACUCCGACGGGAGGCAGCAGUGGGGAAUCUUCCGCAAUGGACGAAAGUCUGACGGAGCAACGCCGCGUGAGUGAAGAAGGUUUUCGGAUCGUAAGGCUCUGUCUUCAAGGACGAAUGUAGAUAUUGUGAAUAAUGAUAUUUAAUGACGGUACUUGAGGAGGAAGCCACGGCUAACUACGUGCCAGCAGCCGCAGUAA